UUAAGAAAAACCAAAAGUAAUAUUUGAUAUGACAAAAAUAAUAGUACUUUUUAUUCGAAUAAGUUAUAUUUCUAUUAAGUAAUAUUUGAUAUUUAUUAUUUGAUAUGAGCAAAAGUAAUAUUUGAUACGAGCAAAAGUAAUUUGUUGUUAAAAAACUCAUAUUUCUGUUAAAUAAUACUCCGAUAUGAGCAAAAUUAAUAUUUUAUAUGAGCAAAUAUAAUAUUUGUUACUCCCUGCGUCCCGCGAGUCUUGACACGUUUGGAUUCGGCACGGGAAUUAAAGAGUUGUAGAUUAGUGUUUUAAGUGUGUAAUUAAUAAAGUAUAAAAUUGAUAAAGUAUGAGAGAGAAAGUAAUAAAAGUGAUAAAGUAUGGGAGAGAAUAUAAUAAAUGUGAUAAAGUAGAAGAGAAAAGGUAAUAAUUAUUACCAAAAAAGGAAACGUGUCAAGAUUCGUGAGACGGAGGGAGUAUUAGAUAAGUUAAUUUUCGAUUCGUUUACAACCCUAAGCAGGAGGAGGGCACCAAUAAGGGGAAACAAUUGAACAAACGAUAAAUGUGGCAAGUGAGGGAAAACCGAAGGAGAAGGGAUGAUUUAUGUGAUGAAAAAUGAAGGAGGGAGAAAUGAGGGAAAAUUGAGCAAAAAAGUAAGAGGGAUUUUUUUCGUUUAGGGCGGGAAGUGAUUUCCUUAAGGGGGAAACGAACUUUUUCAUGUCAUCAUGAGUUUUUGUACCUCGACUAUUUGAAAAAAAAUUCACCGAAAACGAUAAUUAUAGAGAUAUUAUAUGAUACAAAACAUUAGUGGAAAAUAUUAAUGAUAUAAUAUAUUAAAAUAAUCUAUCAAUAAAAAAUAAAAAAUAUUGUCAGGUAAUAUAUUAAUAAAAAAUAUUAGUAAAAAUAUUAAUGGUGUGAUAUUAAGAUAAUAUAUUAAUUAAAUAAUUAAUGCAAAAUAUUUUCAGAUAAUAUAUUAAUAGGAGUAAUAAAUAUUAGUGAAAAAUAUUAUGAUACUAGUGCAAAUACAAAUGAAAUAAGAUUAGUGCAAAUAGGGCUGUCGAUCGGUUCGGGUUCGGUUACCCGUACCCGAAUUUUCGGUUACCCGAACCCGAAAUUGCAAAAUUUCAAUAACCGUUCCCGAACCGUUUUAGGUGUUCGGUUACCCAAUAACCGCUUCGGUUAACCAAUUGGGUUAUUUGGAUAUCCGAAAUACCCAUUUAAAAAAUCCAAAACAAAUCCAAAGCAAUUCCAAAGCAAUUAGUUCGUUUCAGAUAAGCAAUUCAGUCAAAUUAAAGAUAUAUGGACUAUAUAAUAAUAUUGGUUGGAUUAGCUCCAUCAUGUUGUUUAUAAUUUAGUCUAAGAGACGGAAAUUGAGAACAAAUAAAAAACAAAAUUUUCCUUGGUAUAAUCAUUUGUGUCCUAUGUUGCUUCAUUUAGCUCCAUCGGAAUAAUUCUUUUCUGAACUAUAGAAUAGAAGUAAUAAACCAUAGAAAAAUGUUCACAAGAAUCACAACAUAACUACAUAUCUACAUACAAAGGGAAGCAUUAAAUUGGGCUUUAAUUGGGCGUUAAUUAGCUGAUACAAGAUGAAGACUUAUCGGGCGGCGGACGGACAGCAAAGUGGCUGGCGGCGUGGCGGAGCAGCGGUCAUGUGACAUCUACACAGUUAAUUCAUCUUAAUUCUUAGUUAUAUAAUAUGAGAAUCGUACUUUAAAAUAAGAUUAGUGCAUGGGAAUGCAAGUGGGAUUUUGAAACCGAAAUAAGAUUAGUGCAAAUGCAAUUGGAGUUUAUGAAAUCAAAGUUCGAUUAUUGGGAAAUCAAUUGAAGAUUACUAAAUUAUAGUAAAUAUUAGUUGGAGAUCAAUUGGGAGUUUUGAAAUCGAAGUAAGAUUAGUGGGAAAUCAAUUAGGGAUUAUGAAAUCGAAGUAAGAUUAGUGCAAAUAUAAUUGUGUGUGCAAUCGUGUAUGAUUGAUUCUUCUUAGGAUUCUCACUUGAAUUAGUGGAAUAUUAGAUUGAUUCUUAGUAUUCUUAGUUAAUUGGCUUAAAUUUAACUCUUUAAAUCAUUCAUUUCUUUUUCCACAUUUUCUACUUGACCCUAUGAUAACACUCAUGUUUCCAUGAUUUUUAGUGUUCAUAUUAUGUUAAUUUUAUAGGGAAUUGAGUGUUUGAUGAUUGUUUUGUGCUUAAAUUGCUUUAUCUUGUGAAUUAUGUUACUUGCUCGAACUUUGAUGGAUUUUACAGGAUUUUCUAGAUGGAAUUUGGAAAUAUUGUCAGAAAUAGAAGUUGUAGUUCGUCUCAAGAGGAGUUCGUGAGCGCAAACGGUUCAUAAAUCGGAGUUCGAACGAGAAAGUUAUGGCCAAAACAAGAAAGUCGCGCGCAGUAGUAAAUAGUGUCCGACGGGAAUUUCCGAAUUUUCGGGAAUUUUCGGAAUUUUCGGAUUUUGUCAGUAUUUUUGAGUUCUACACUGUAUUUAUCUCAUGUGCUUAUAUAUAGGUCCUUUCCCUGACCUAUUAGACACAUCUCUUUACCUCUUUUCUCCAUCUUUUCAGUUUUAGACUUAGACUUUUAUUGUUUUCAUAGAUUAGCUUUAUUUUCCUACAAGAUUCAAGCUGUCAUUCAACAUUCUUUCGGAUUUUAUUUAUUUUAUUUAUUUUAAUUGCUUUC